UUUAUUUUAUAUUUUUUUUAAACUCCAGUAGCACUUACAUUUCAGGCCAAGCUGGAGCUCUGGAAUGGAGCACGUUCAGCCAUCAAUUUUCAGCUCCUCACAUAAGAAGGGACUGAGUCACAAACUGCUGCUGAGUUUGAGAUGAAAUGGGAAGGAUCCAGAGCAGGUUAUUCUGUUGAGUCUUUAGUGGGAACAAGGACACCAUCUCUCUGCUCCUGAAAAUUAUUCCUUAAAGACAUUUGAAUCUGGACUGUCUUGUUGUAACACCUCCGAAUGAAGCACCAGGAGCUGUGUUGCUGCUCCUUCUGUUCGUAGCAGGAUGUGCCAGCUCUGUUUAAUCACUGAAUUUCAUGCUGUCUGAUCACCUGCAAAGGCAUCUCUUAUCAAGUCCCUUAGACCUGCAGGGUCUGGGGAUGUGGAGUGGACCUGGCACGAGCUGGUUUGAGGGGGACAAGGUCUGUGUCUCAUUUACCUGUGCUGAACACUUAUAAUUCUAUUGACUCCAGUGGAAACUGGAAUGAGAGCGGUGCAUGCUUUGGAUAAAUCACGUUAUGUAACAGAAAAAUGAUGGUAAUUUAUGGCUGAGAACUUUUCAUCACGCCACUGAGCUCUGUUGUUUGCAGUUGGAAAGAAUGAAAAGUUUGAGGAGUUAUGCUGAGACUCUCAAUUCCCCUGCCCAGCAUUUCUGGUACAGGACCUGUCCUGACUCCAGGGGAGCCCAGGGUUGGGAUGGAGAAGCCUUUUGGUGCUGGUUCUCAGCAGGUGAGGGAGCACAGGGGGCUGUGCUGCCCAUCCCAGCCCCA